ensembl:lncRNA hyaluronan mediated motility receptor-like
AUGUUCAAACACGAUCAACUGCUCGGCAGGGUCCAUCAUGAACAGCAACGGGUGCAUCUUGUGGUGGAGGAGAGCUCCAGAGAUGCUGCACUGCUGGGCCUACAGCUGGAACAGGUCAACUCGGAGCUACUGCACCUGCAAAGUUCUGAGGUGCAGUUGGAAGGCCUGGUGGAAGAGCUGCAUACUGAGGACCUGCAGAGAGCUGCAUUGACCGAGGACCUCCAGGUGCAGCUGCACAGUAAGGUAUUGGAGUUGGAAGAGCUUCAGUGCUGCUACGCUGCUAGCACCCAGGAGCUGGAGGAGCUGCGCUGCGCCAACCAGAGGAAGAUGCAGGAACUGCAGCGGGAGAACGAGGGCAGCCUGAAGAAGCUCCAGGAGACGGCCGAGCAGUUUGAGUGGCUGUGUGAACAGCAGCGCUACUGGAUGUGCUGCGUCAAGAGAUUCAAAGACUGCCUGUCAGAGGAGAAGGACUCUCUGGUGCGGCAGGUGAAACGGUUGGAGAAGGAGGUAGCAGAGCUGAGGAAGAGCUCAGAGAGCACCACCCAGAUGCCGUGCUGCCCCCUAGAGGACACAGUCAGCCAGCACUGUGACAGAAUGCCCUCUUGGGAAUCCGGUCAGAUGGCUGACCUGCAAACCCAGGUGGACAAAUGGAGAAAGCUGUAUGAGGACCUCUUCAGCCAGUUCACACCCCACCAAGGGGGGCACGUUGUCGACAGAUAUCAAAAACCUCCUUGAGGUCAGAAGACCAUGAAAUCCAUCUAUUUUUCUUCAACCCAGUGGAGGCACUCCUAACUUUUGGCUGUUUGUCGAAGCUACUCAACUGUUGCUGAGAACCAUACAACCUCACCGUUCUAUUGUUGUCGUUGUUUAAAUGUCUUGAAACCACUGCAUGAUCAUGACUGUCCUGGAGUGUGAUAUGCAACUUUGUUAGUCUAUCUUUUGUUAUGAGUGUUACAGUGUUCUCCUAUUUGGACACACUUUCCUGUCAUUGUCUAUUUUCAGACACACUGGUGGAACAUAGUAAAUCAACAAGUAAAAACACCUGAGAAUGUCUGUGUUGUUGUUACUCUGCCAAUCCUGAUGAUGACUCUAGCUGAUGAGCAGAGAACCACAACACAUGCUAAUGUUUUGUCCUGGUGAACAUUCCUGACAUUAACUCCCAUCAUUUACAAUUAACCAGAUGUGGGAUUAAAAACAAAACUCAUGUAAAAUAUACUGUGUCUGUGAAAUGUACAUAGGUUCAGAACUUUUCUGAAACGGCAAAAAAUAUAUGGCAAAAUAAAAAUCAAACUAGAUGAGCUUUAGCGAUAGAUGGUAGCUGAAGGAUUGGAUUAAAAACAAACAAAAGGGAACUAUUGUAAAAUAAAUUGUCCAUAAAGUGUGGUGUUGUCAAUUAGUUUACUCCAAUUAGGAGAAAGCAUGGUAGGGUUAGAGGGAAAAUAUAUUUUUAAAAGAUAUAUAUAUAUAGUAGCAGUCAAAAGUUUUUACUAUUUUCUACGUUGUAGAAUAAUAGUGAAGACAAACUAUGAAAUAACGCAUUUGGAAUCAUGUAGUAACCAAAAAGUGUUAAACAAAUCAAAAUAUAUUUUAGAUUCUUCAAAGUAGCCACCCUUUACCUUGAUAACAGCUUUUGCACACUCUUGGCAUUCUCUCAACCAGUUUCACCUGGAAUGGUUUUCCAACAGUCUUGAAGGAGUUCCCACAUAUGCUGAGCACUUGUUGGAUGCUUUUCCUUCACUCUGUGCUCCAACUCAUCCCAAACCGUCUCAAUUGGGUUGAGGUCGGGUGAUUGUGGAGGCCAUGUCACCUGAUGCAGCACUCCACUCUCCUUGGUUAAAUAGCCCUUACACAGCCUAGAGGUGUGUUGGGUCAUUGUCCUGUUGAAAACAAAUGAUUCUCCCACUAAGGGCAAACCAGAUGGGAUGGCGUAUCACUGCAGAAUACUGUGGUAGCCAUGCUGGUUAAGUGUGCCUUGAAUUCUAAAUAAAUCACUGACAGUGUGACCAGCAAAGCACCGCCAUACCAUCACACCUCUUCCACGCUUCACGUGGGAACCACACAUGCAGAGAUCAUCCAUUAACCUACUCUGCGUCUCACAAAGACACAGUGGUUGAAACCAAAAAUCUCAAAUUUGGUCUCAUCAGACAAAAGGACAGAUUUCCACAGGUCUAAUGUCCAUUGCUCAUGUUUUUUGGCCCAAGCAAGUGUCAUCUUCUUAUUGGUGUCCUUUAGUAGUGGUUUCUUUGCAGAAAUUUGACCAUGAAGGCCUGAUUCACGCAGUCUCCUCUGAACAGUUGAUGUUGAGAUGUGUCUUUUACUUGAGCUCUGUGAAGCAUUUAUUUGGGCUGCAAUUUCUGUGGCUGGUAACUCUAAUGAGCUUAUCCUCUACAGCAAAGGUAACUCUGGGUCUUCCUUUCCUGUGGCGGUCCUCAUGAGAGACAGUUUCAUCAUAGCGCUUGAUGGUUUUUGUGACUGCACUUGAAGAAACAUUCAAAGCUUGAAAUCUUCUGCGUUCACUGACCAUGUCUUCAACUAAUGAUGGACUGUCGUUUCUCUUUUCUUAUUUCAGCUGUUCUUUCCAUAAUAUGGACUUGGUCUUUUACCAAACAGGGCUAUCUUCUGUAUACCACCCCAACCUUGUCACAACACAACUGAUUGUCUGAAAUGCAUUAAGGAAAUAAAUUAACUUUGAACAAAGCACACGUUUCAUUUGAAAUUAAUUCCAGGUGACUACCACAUGAAGCUAGUUGAGAGAAUGUCAAGAGUGUGCAAAGCUGUCAUCAAGGCAAAGGAUGGCUACAUGUUACUACAUGAUUCCAUAUGUGUUAUUUCAUAGUUGUGAUGUCUUCACUAUUAUUCUACAAUGUAGAAAUGAGUCAAAAGAAAAACUCUUGAAUGUGUAGGUAUGUUUUGACUGGUACUGUAUAUAUUUCCCCAAAAUAUAUAUGUGGGAUUGGAAAUUAAUCAGACAAUUACGCUGAAGGAAUCUACAACCUAUCUGCAAUAUUAAAGCUGAUCUACCCCCUAAAUUUUAUUUUGUUGAAAGACAUUGUCUAAUUCAUUUCUACAUCAAACACAACAGGAUUCAACGGCUGCCGUGUGUGAAGUCAGAUGACCUGAAGGUGUUCUGGAAGGCGAAGGUGUAGCCAAGGAUGAACUAUGUGUGGCAGCUGGAAACCAGUUGAAUUUGCACAUAAUAAAUAGUUAAGAACCCAACCAUGCAGAAUCCAACCUGGGUUUAUUAUUAACCUCGGUCACAACCAGGGAAAACGCAUUAUAUACAUUCAACACCAGGAUAUAUCCAUUAAAAAUUAGAAUUUUGUUAUGUGUGAAAUGAAUGUUUGUCUACUGACCUGCUUGUCUAAAUAUGAAGUCCUCACCCAGGGGUUAUAAAUAGAAAUGGCUGAGACUGGGAGUUGUUCGAUUCUUGUAAAAAGGCCACUUUAUAGGUACACAGGGUCCAUGUAAGGAAUGCCUCUACGUGCCUCAGAAAACACUCGUUCCUGAACUCUGGGUCUAACAAGCCACAGGCAUACGGCUUCUCACAGAGGUUUCUUGCUUACUAAAGACAAAACAUUGCCAAAAUGUCGAGUCCUGUUUGAUUCUGCACAAUC